rnacentral:lncRNA from 1 species
UUUGUCUUUGAAGUGCAGAAUUGGAGCUGAGGAGCCCGGAUAGCUGCUGGUUGUAUCACUUGAGUGGACUGAGCUGUAUUACCUUUGAGUUAACCAGUUAUGAUUUAGAGCUACUCAAUUUUUAUGUCUACUAAAUCUUCUCUUUUGUUAGAAUCAGAGUGAAUAACUGAUUGUAAAAUAAAGAUGCUAUGUUCUGUCCAGGACAAACCAGGUACAAAUACUCAGUGGGGGCCAAUGAGAGGCAAGAGAUCUCUGCUUGAAAAAGACAGCUAGUAUUCCGUGGAAGGUAAAGUGCUGUAGUUGAUAAGAGCAUGUUAAAUGCUGGUGAGAUCAGAUAAGAACAGAAGACCAAAUGCUGCACUUACACCUAGAUAAAGUGCAAUUAAUCAUUCAUACUUGACAUAGAAGGAACAUAAAAAGCUUUAUUGUAUUCUUAAAAUCUUAGUCCUUAACUGGUUGCUCUCUAGAACCAUUCACUCAGGCAUCAGUAAUUCAGGGAAAAACAAAACCAACCAAACAAAAAACCCAAGUUUUUACCACAUAGGUUUAUAUUACUGUUGAAUCUACGCAUUAGUCUUCUGUUGUGUAAGGUGUGAGGAAAGCUCAGAAAAUGAGACUGGAUCUGUUGGAUUGAUCUGACCUUCAGAACAGAGGAAAUGAGGAAAGUGGAGACCCAAAGAGACAGAACAGCGCAAUCAGUUUCAGUGGCCAAGAGUUUUUGGAGCAUAAAAUUGUGGAGGAUGUUAUUGUCUGAUAACAGGACACAUGAAAGGCAAGCUUUAUUUCUGAACUUCCUCAGAGCAUGGUGGAGAUCUUUGAGCAAAUACCUGUGGACUCUAAUCACUCUUGAUUAGAUUUAAUUGGUAUAUUGCCGUGCAAAUAUGCUGAUGAAACUAGAAGGCAUCUGAAUACACCUGGAAAAUUGUACAUAAUAAGAGUUUUGGGGGGGAUUAGGUAGUAUUUGAAAGCACUCACUGAGCAGCACAGACCCAAACAUUUCCUGAAGAAUGAGCAUCUAACAGAAACUGUCCUCCCUUUCUUAUCUGCUGAGCUUGUUUUCAGGGUACAUUUAAGCAGCUUUGUCAGUGGGUUAGCACUGCCAUCCCUUUAAUGAUAUAUGCAAGCUUAAAAUAGCUGCUACUAAGGUGCUUCUGAAAUGAAAUUUCUGAAGAGAAAAUGAAAAGCUAAAUACAGUCUGUGAGACUCCAGAGAACAAG